rnacentral:rRNA from 1 species
AUUGAACGCUGGCGGCAUGCCUUACACAUGCAAGUCGAACGGUAACGGGUCCUUCGGGAUGCCGACGAGUGGCGAACGGGUGAGUAAUAUAUCGGAACGUGCCCAGUAGUGGGGGAUAACUGCUCGAAAGAGCAGCUAAUACCGCAUACGACCUGAGGGUGAAAGGGGGGGAUCGCAGGACCUCUCGCUAUUGGAGCGGCCGAUAUCAGAUUGGCUAGUUGGUGGGGUAAAGGCCUACCAAGGCAACGAUCUGUAGUUGGUCUGAGAGGACGACCAACCACACUGGGACUGAGACACGGCCCAGACUCCUACGGGAGGCAGCAGUGGGGAAUUUUGACAAUGGGCGCAAGCCUGAUCCAGCAAUGCCGCGUGCAGGAAGAAGGCCUUCGGGUUGUAAACUGCUUUUGUCAGGGAAGAAAUCUUCUGGGUUAAUACCUCGGGAGGAUGACGGUACCUGAAGAAUAAGCACCGGCUAACUACGUGCCAGCCGCCGCCGUAACAC